CCCGUCGAUAUGCACAUCUACAUAGUAUGUCCUUAUUAUCUGAAAAGGUUUCGUGAAAUUCUGUUGUAUGGUUUGAGAGGAGUUGCGAUGACAAACUGUUGCAGUAGUACAUUAAAGUAAAUAAGUUCAAAGGGGCGUAACUCCUAGAAAAAAAAUUGAAUCGCAAUUUCCCGUCGAUAUGCACAACUACAUAGUAUGUCCUUAUUAUCUGAAAAGGUUUCGUGAAAUUCUGUUGUGUGGUUUGAGAGAAGUUGCGAUGACAAACUGUUGCAGUAGUACAUUAAAGUAAAUAAGUUCAAAAGGGCGUAACUCCUAGAAAAAAAAAUUGAAUCGCAAUUUCCCGUCGAUAUGCACAACUACAUAGUAUGUCCUUAUUAUCUGAAAAGGUUUCGUGAAAUUCUGUUGUGUGGUUUGAGAGGAGUUGCGAUGACAAGAAACAGGACUGACGGACGGACGGACGGACUGACGGACGGGUCAAAAACAUUAUACCCUCCGCAACCCGUUGCGUGGGGUAUAAUAA
rnacentral:lncRNA from 1 species